rnacentral:rRNA from 1 species
AAGGGGCAGUAAGGCAUGGGUACCUACCUUGGGGUUCGGGAUAGCCACCAGAGAUGGUGGGUAAUACCGGAUGACCUCGUGAGAGCAAAGGUCCGCCGCCCUGAGAGGGGCCCAUGUGAUAUUAGCUAGUUGGUGAGGUAACGGCUCACCAAGGCGAAGAUGUCUAGCGGGUGUGAGAGCACGACCCGCGCCACUCGCACUGAGACACUGGCGAGACACCUACGGGUGGCUGCAGUCGAGGAUCUUCGGCAAUGGGGGCAACCCUGACCGAGCGAUGCCGCGUGAGCGAUGAAGGCCUUCGGGUUGUAAAGCUCGAAAGUGGGGAGAAACGCCGAAAGGCUUGAUCUAUCCACAGUAAGCUCGGGCUAAGUUCGUGCCAGCAGCCGCGGUAAGACGAACCGAGCGAACGUUGUUCGGAAUCACUGGGCUUAAAGGGCGCGUAGGCGGGCUGUCAAGUUUGGGGUGAAAUCCCGCGGCUCAACCGUGGAACUGCCUCAAAUACUGACGGUCUCGAGGGAGAUAGGGGCAAGCGGAACUAAUGGU